rnacentral:lncRNA from 1 species
UGAUAUGAUACUUCUGUUAUCUCAUGUGUGGUGAUUUGAUACUUCUGUUAUCUCAUGUGUGGUGAUUUGAUACUUCUGUUAUCUCAUGUGUGGUGAUUUGAUAUGUCUGUUAUCUCAUUUGUGGUGAUUUGAUACUUCUGUUAUCUCAUGUGUGGUGAUUUGAUACUUCUGUUAUCUCAUGUGUAGUAUUUUGAUAUGUCUGUUAUCUCAUGUGUAGUAUUUUGAUAUAUCUGUUAUCUCAUGUGACUAUUAAAUAUUUUUUGUUACGAAGUUUUGGAUAGUUUGCCAUCAGUUUAUCUGGAAACUUACUAACUGACUAAACUUAUAACUGGCUACAGGAGAAAUAAGCAAUAUAAUUUGCAUUUGGAAAUCCCAAUAUAUUAUGUACAGACAGUUCAGUUUUCAGGUUCAGAUAUCAUGAAUCCAG